rnacentral:lncRNA from 1 species
AAUAUAAAAAUGCAAGAUUAUAAAAGCAAUUUGUUUCAAACGAGGGUUUGUGCCUUAUAUAAAAAUCGAGAAUUUCUUAUAAAGUAUAAAUAAUCGAGGUAAUAAAAUUUUUCGCAUCAAAAUAUAUUAAUAAUAAUUUUCGAAUCAAAUCAAUAAAAUUUAGCAAGCUCCCACGAAACCAAAUAAUAUGUAAAAUCAUGCACAAAUCAUAAUUCGCCCCAUAUGCGAGGAAUUACAGAUUCAUUUCACAGAUAAACAAAUAACGGAGCUACUAAAAACCAUUUAAUUCCAUUUUCACAUUGUAGAGAAAUAUAAUUCAUAAUAUUAAAACUUAUUUCAACUCAUAUAAAACCAUUACAUUUUUGUCAAAAAUAAACAACAUGGCUUAUGACUUUUUUAAAAAUUUGGCUUGUGCCAAAAUCAUUCUCAUACUCGGUUUUCAGGGAUUCCUUGGCCUUGGGCUAUCCUAACCAAAUCUGCCAAGGCUGUUAAAAAAUCAUGUACGAAUAAAUCAUGUUUUUAUUUUGAAAACAUAGUCGUUCCUUGGCAUUCGCUGAGUUCACCCUCACGUAGUGGUUUGACGUGAAGUGAACUCUAAAGUUGUACCUCAUGAGUUACCCUACAUGCCUCUCCAACUGAGGUAAGAAUAUAACAGGGUUACCAUGCCCCUCUAAUAGGCUGGUCCACCAAACCCGCCCACUACAACAAGCUAAACCCACCAUGCAAUAAAAUUUGCAAUAGCAUGACAUGGCAAUUAUUUUAUUUUACAGCCUCUCAAGGUAAAUCAACAGUUCAUACAUUUUCAGCACAUUUACCAAUCAUGCCCACAUUAUCAUAAGCCAUUCGAUUCAAAAUACAAUUUAUAACACAACAAGUAGCAGUUUCCAAUUACUCUUGAAUUUCUUGGUUAAAAUGAAAUCACCUUUUAAUAGAAUUCAAAUUUGAUCUUUAAGAGGAUAUUUUAAAUCUUGCUCAAAAUAUCGAUCCCCACAUCACAUUGAAACUCUCUUUUCGUAAAAUGUUCAUUGUAAAUAUUUGCAUGAUAUUUUGUAUCAAAAUAGCGUGGUGAAUAUGUAAUAAAUUUCAUGAAUGCACACCACACAAACAAUAAGGCACAAUUUCCUUUAAUGUAAAUCUUUUCAAAAAGCUUAUUUCCCAGUUUAAAACACUUUACGUCUAAUAUAUAUAUAUAUUUCAAAUGAUUUCUAAAAAUUACUUACACCCACAAUUCCUUAAAAUUCUAUCAACGCAUGCUUUCCAUAAAUUUUGCACUUCACGAAAAAUAUGUGUACAUGUAUAUAUAUACGAAAUUUUUUAAAUUGACACCCCCUACUCACCUCAUAAUAGUGGGAUAUUACUUCACUAUUGAUUCGUACGCAUAUAUAAUUAUUCCUAUUUGUCGGUCACAUACUUCGUUCGGCACUCCUCCACGAUAAACUUUCCUAACAACAAUUUAAACUCAGUAUACUUAAUUACACAUUUGUAUGGGUGGCAACUUAAUUAAAAAUUCCUUAAGCAACUUGCAUAUUUCUCAUCCAAAAUAUGCACAAUAUUAAACUACCCAUAAAUCUUAAAAUAUAAUAUUAACUUACCAUUGGGCCUUUUUCAUUUCUUGAUGACCUUUGGGCCCUCUCCAUGGGCUUCUUCAUUUUUCCUAUUUGAGCUAAGCCCAUUUAUUUUUAUUUACUAUUGGGCCAUGCCCACUUAUUUUCUAUUGGGUCAUGCCCAUUUAUUUUCUAUUUCUUUUCUUUUUAUUUUCUCGUUGGCUCAUUUUCUUCCUCCUCUAGUGGCAGCACUUUUAGCUCUCUUUUCCUCAAAAAUUUGGCAGCACCAAGCUGCCUUUUCUCCCUCAAAUUGGCAGCAUAGUGCUGUCCAAUUUUCCUGCACCAACUACCAACAAAUAGCUCAAAUUUUUUUGCACAAAUUGGCAGCAAACAGCUCCAAAUUUUCUACACAAAAUGGCAGCAAACAGCUCAAAUUUUCAGCAGCCAAAAUCAGCCAUAAAAGCCAAAAAAAAUUUAGCAAUUAACCUAAAAAAAAAUCAGCUUUCUUACCUCAAAAUUUUCAGCGUUUUUCUUCCUCCAAAAAUUGCAACAAAAAGUUCUCUUUUCCUCCCUCAAAGUGCAGCAAAACUGUGCCAAGAAAAAAGCAGAAUUUUUGUUCCUUUUCUCUUCCUCUCCCACAAUUUUUCUUUCCUUUUUCUUCUGCUUUUCUUUUGCUCUCCCUCACAACCGACUUCUCUCUUUUCUUUUUCUUCUUCUGUCAUUUCUUUCAUCUCACAUGGCUGGCCUCACCAUCAUUUCUACAUUCUUCUCUUUUGUUUUCUUUGUUUUUUCUUUUGUCUUUCUUCCUUUGAUUUUUGUAUGGCCGGCCAUUCACCUUAGAAUUCUUUGGUUUGACUUUUCAACAUUUUUUCUUCAUUCCCAUCCAAACCACAUCAUUCCCAUCCUUUUUAUUUCCUUAUUAUUUUAUUAUUUAUUUAUUUUAUUCUCUCCAAAUAAUGCAAUUUACAUGUAAUUCCUCAACUUCAUUUUAUUUGAUACACUUCUUUUAAAUUUUCAUAUUUUAAAAUUAAUUCUACCGACACGUGUAAAAAUUUUAAUUUCCUUCUAUCUUCAAUUUUUUACACGUGUAUAAUCUAAAUAUCAAGAUCGCAUUUCAACACAGUGUCACCAUAAUAUUUAAAUAUUGACUUACCCGCGUUAGCUCUAUUUAAUAAAGUCACGCUGACACAAUUAUCAUCGUUUUCCUUCAAAAUUCUUCUUGACUUCUUCUCCCCCACUUAAAUUAGUCAUAUUCCAUUUUUCAUGACUAAUUUCGACAACAUAUAAAAUAUUAAUAUUUUAAUAUUAUUUUAUUGAAUAAAAUAUUAUUUUAUUUCAAAAUUUUUCACUUGCCUUCUUUGGUCUCGGAACACAUCAUUACAUCUCGGUUUACUUCCGAAUCAUCCUUUAGCUUACUAAUUCCUCUCCAACAAAGAUAUUAUUAUUUAAUUAUUGUUUCUGCACGCGCGAAGCAUUUUAUUCUAGAACGUUCUUUUCAUCCUUUGUCACUCUUUAGCAUGCAAAUUCACAUCAAACGAUCAUUCAUUUGAUCAAUAAGGUCUUAUUUGUGUCCAACGAGGGUGCGAGGUAUUACAAUCUCCCCCACUUAAAAAUAAAUUCAUCCUUGAAUUCUAACCAACACAUACGGUGAACAAUCAAAAUUCUAAAAUUCUUCUACAUCACUUUUGUUGGGCAUUCUCCAUAGAAGAUCUCGAUCUUAUGACUUAAAUCAAUUUCCAAUCUUUAUAGAAAACUCAGCAAUGUCAUAUUACUUUUAUUUAUAAGUACCACACUUCUCGAAUUAAAUUGAUAUUAUUCUUCCUCUUAUAAAGAGAAAUUAAAUAUAUCAUUAAUCCUAGUCACACCUCCAUCAAAUCAUUCUUAAAUCAUCAAUUAUGCAUGUUUACAUAGCCAUCUACAAUUUCCUCUACCUUGAUCUUUUAUCAAACCUUCCGACAUUCAAAUAUUUAUCCAACCAUUGACUACGGGUCUAACUUGUCAACUUAUCUUUAUUUCGGUUUACACACUUCCAUACCAUUUCCAUGCGAGCAUUUCAUAAUACUUAAAGAUAAAGACAUGUUUUAUUUAUUUGAGAUAUAUUUAACAUCAGAGAUGAUUCAAAUCUAAUAACCAUUUGUAACUAUAUUCUCAAAAAUAAAACUCCAAUACUUUCAUGAUCGAGUGCUCGCUAGAUAAUUUCAACUUACACCAUAAGACAUUUCGAUAAUUAACGAUAUUAUUGUAUAUAUCUUUAUAAUUUUAAUCAAUCUUUUUAAUCAAUAGCUAAUUUUUUCAUCAUCAACUGCAUACAACAUAUCUAACUUGAAAUUCCUCAAAUUUACUCUAAAUGCCAAAUCUCAUGAUCUCAUUACCAAAGCCUUUGCUAGUAUAUGAAUAUUCAAAAUCUCAAAUCAUCUUUUCUUCCUAAAUGGAUCUUUAUAAUUCCCGUAACGUAUUUCUAUUCCUUCACUAAGGUUAAUAUCAUUUAAUCAAACCAUAUCACCCUCGUUCUUUAAAUAUUCGUAACACAAUUUAUCCUUUGCCUAUUCUUUUUAGGCACUUUACCUUGAUAAUUAAUAAAAUAAAUUGAAACUGAUAAGGAAAGUAUAUUUCACAAUUUAUGUCUUGUAUUUACAAGCAUAUCGAGACCAUAACUUCAUCAGAUCUAGAUAUCGGUGAGAUAAUCAUUGCCUCAAACCACCAUUUCCAAACAUCCUUAUAUGUUUAUAAUUCAUCUUCAUACUUAUGUGACAUAUUAGUCACGAAUCCCAACUUGACUAUAUAGCCUUUUGCUCCUUGAGCUUUAAUGUUUCUCAUAGUGAAAAAUUUCUUGAACUAUAUCAUCAAGGUGUUCACCGAAUGGAUACAAGUUCAUAACUUAUAGUUCAAUGCCGAAAGCAGUGAACACAAUCUCAUCAUUAGAAUUCCACUCUUACCUACCAAUCGUAACUCCCUUUGUUCAUUUACUUGCACAUUGUUUGGUUACUCACCAGCCAUUGAUGACCAUCCAAGUUCAAACUUUUAUAAAUAGUCAAACUAGUGCAUUCUCACACCUUUCCAUACAUUUCAAAAACCCUUAAACACUUCCUUUAAUACAAUUUCGUUGAAAAUUUAAAUAAUCAAAGGCUAAUCUCCAAAGCCUUUCAUAACCUUAACAUUUCAAUGUAUGCUUAUUAACAUCCCACUUAUUGGUUCCCAAUGGACAUUAUUUUAAGAUCCCCCCAAAGUGUUCGUGUUAUUAAUUCAGACCAUAUUGAACUAACUUGGUAUGAUUACAUUAAUUAUCCUUAAACUUCUUAGAUGCGAUUCUAACAACAUUCGUAUUUCUUCCAUUGCUAAUCCAAUCACAAUUUAGUAUUCACAUAUGCUUUAUGAUCUUAUUGACUAUUUAGGUUCAUCUUUAUGAGAUCAAUGGAUCUUAUAAAAUAUCACAAUUCCUAAAAGUCAUUCUCAUUCUCAUUUACCUUUUGUACUUCCAUCAGAUACAUCUUUAUUCAUUUUGAUAUUAAUUACUCACUUAAGAUUUAGAUUCAUGGGAGUCAUAUGCACCUCUUGCAUUUUUGAAUUUCAAUUUCUACAUAAAGGGAUUCUCAUUAACCAAUUUCAUUAUUGGGACUACCUUCAAUCAUCCUUGUGUUACCACUUUACACUAAUAUACCAUUACUUUCCCUUUAACAUCUACACAAUCAACUCUGAUAUUUAUAAAACUUAAUAUAGAUUUUACUUAAAUGUCCCUCGACAUUGUCGCCAAUAUUUAAUUUCAACCUUGAGCUAAUUCAUGCACUAAUAACUACAACCUAGCAUAGUUCCAUCAAACCUUGGGAUCUCAUCAUUACUUAAUUAAAUUUAAAACCAGCUCCAUUGAAGCUACUAUACACCACAUAUUCGUAUAUAAAAUAUUUCAAAGGUUCAGCACCUUUUAUAUUUAGGCAUAACAAACUUAAUUAACAUAGUGCACUAACUUCUGUGCACGUGAGCAUCAGUUUACAUCUCCUUAAUACUUAAAUUUAUAAACCUCGAGUGGAUCUCAAGGAUCAUUAUUUAUUCUAGUCAAAAUAUACCUCUUAUUAUCAUUAUCGUAGGUUCUCCUUUAUAUCAUCCUCAAAUACCGUCCAUAGUCAUCAAAUUUCUUUCCAUUGACAAUCAUGGCUCAAGUUUUAACUCCACUAAGUGAAUGAGUUAUUACGGACUUAUUAGUCCGACUUCACUUUCCUCCACUCUUGGUCAAAAGAGUAUAUCAUCAUAUCACCCUUUCAUUAGAAGCAUUUACUUAAAAUAUUUCCAACAAUAGUUUGUGUCUCGGGUGGCAUCUCAAACCCGAACAUCGAUAAUCAAUUCUUGUUAUUUAAUCAUCACUUAUGAUUACACAAGGUGGUUUUUAAAGAUAAAGAGUCUAUACAGCCUCCUGUCUGUAAUCGGUGUUGCAGUCACUGACUAUAAACAAGACUCUACGUUGACUCCACUACUCCUCUGUUUGACAUAAGAAUAUCCUAGGACUCAACUAAACCUAGCGCUAUGAUACCACUAUUGCAACGACCUCUCCCCGAUCACUAUCGGUGUCUAAGACUUCCGAAAAAGACCCGUCAAGUCUCGAACAAGCCUAUCUAGAAUUUGCUCGUUAAUCCACUACAUUCAAUCACCAUAUAAUAUUGAUACUUUCAUAUACUAAAUUGAACCAUAAAUAUAAAAAUCAAUACAAAUUUUUUUCCUUUUACUCGUAAGUAUAUGCAUUAAAAUCUAUAAUCUCCAAAUUAAUGCUUACAUAAAAAUUUAGAAUUCGUUUACAACUUAAUAAAUAAAAUGCUACGACUUGACCUCUAACAGCAGAGCAACUUGGAAUAAAAUGCUAGGAGAUGCCUUUACCUAUUCACGGUGGAUCGAAUGCGUCACUGCCUACACGCUAGGUUGAUCCUUAUCUGCAAAAGGAAAAAUAAAGGGGUGUGAGUCUCAUAGACUCAGUGAUAAUCAUCGACUCAACAAGUAGGGCGUAGAUGGGAAAACAAGCAAAUGAUAGAUCAGUUGAAUAUAAAAAUGCAAGAUUAUAAAAGCAAUUCGUUUCAAACGAGGGUUUGUGCCUUAUAUAGAAAUCGAGAAAUUCUUAUAAAGUAUAAAUAAUCGAGGUAAUAAAAUUUUUCGCAUCAAAAUAUAUUAAUAAUCAUUUUCGAAUCAAAUCAAUAAAAUUUAGCAAGCUCCCACGAAACCAAAUAAUAUUUAAAAUCAUGC